UUAAGUUCAGCGGGUAGUCCUACCUGAUUUGAGAUCAAACGUUCAAAUAGCUGUCUUCACUGAGGAGAGACAUUUAUAAGCCCCAGCGAACCUCCAUCACUGAAGGUUAUCUGGUAGAAAACCACAAGCGUAGAUAGGUAUCACACCUGUGGUGCCACCAAACACUGGCAAGCUGAUCCAUUUGAGAGGAGCUGACCACA
rnacentral:misc_RNA from 1 species